rnacentral:rRNA from 1 species
GUCCACGCCGUAAACGAUGAUAACUCGACGUUGGCAAUAUACUGUUCAGCGUCCAAGCGAAAGCGUUAAGUUAUCCACCUGGGGAGUACGAUCGCAAGGUUGAAACUCAAAGGAAUUGACGGGGGCCCCGCACAAGCGGUGGAGCAUGUGGUUUAAUUCGAUGAUACGCGAGGAACCUUACCAGGGCUUAAAUGGGAAUUGACAGACUGGGAAACUAGUCCUCCUUCGGGCAAUUUUCAAGGUGCUGCAUGGUUGUCGU